AGAUGGUUCCCCCCCUUCCGCCGCUAGAGC
rnacentral:sRNA from 1 species